AUUGAACGCUGGCGGCAUGCCUUACACAUGCAAGUCGAACGGCAGCGGGGGAGAAGCUUGCUUUUCCUGCCGGCGAGUGGCGAACGGGUGAGUAAUACAUCGGAACGCGCCCUUUAGUGGGGGAUAACUAGUCGAAAGAUUAGCUAAUACCGCAUACGACCUGAGGGUGAAAGUGGGGGAACGCAAGGCCUCUUGGUAUAGGGACGGCCGAUGUCUGAUUAGCUAGUUGGUGGGGUAAAGGCCUAACAAGGCGACGAUCAGUAGCUGGUCUGAGAGGACGAUCAGCCACACUGGGACUGAGACACGGCCCAGACUCCUACGGGAGGCAGCAGUGGGGAAUUUUGGACAAUGGGCGAAAGCCUGAUCCAGCAAUGCCGCGUGUGUGAAGAAGGCCUUCGGGUUGUAAAGCACUUUCGUCCGGAAAGAAAUGGCUCUGGUUAAUACCUGGGGUCGAUGACGGUACCGGAAGAAUAAGGACCGGCUAACUACGUGCCAGCCGCCGCGGUAA
rnacentral:rRNA from 1 species